GAUGCUCUGGCUGACCUCGUCAUCGGAGGAAGUUCCGGCGCGGUGGCGGCGGCUGUGACAACGCCGUUCGACGUCGUGAAGACGCGCAUGAUGUGCACUGCGGCGGAAUCGCCGUCGCUGAUGCAAAGCGUGAAGAUGGUGAUGAAGUCUGACGGCAU
rnacentral:ribozyme from 1 species